CAAGCCAGAAGAGGCGCGUCGCCCAGGUAGGAUGUCGGAGGUUCCGCAACCUGUGAAUACAUCUGAGGGGGAUGCGACGCCGAGAUAUGCGCCACGCGGAGUGGCUCGUAUCGGCUACAGGGGCUGAAUCCCCUGAGUUGUCACCCGGUGUAUUCCAGGCGGAAUACGCUACAAGGUGGGGCGCUUCUGGGAGA
rnacentral:ncRNA from 2 species